CAGCGGCGGACGGGUGAGUAAUGCCUAGGAAUCUGCCUGGUAGUGGGGGAUAACGUCCGGAAACGGGCGCUAAUACCGCAUACGUCCUGAGGGAGAAAGUGGGGGAUCUUCGGACCUCACGCUAUCAGAUGAGCCUAGGUCGGAUUAGCUAGUUGGUGGGGUAAAGGCCUACCAAGGCGACGAUCCGUAACUGGUCUGAGAGGAUGAUCAGUCACACUGGAACUGAGACACGGUCCAGACUCCUACGGGAGGCAGCAGUGGGGAAUAUUGGACAAUGGGCGAAAGCCUGAUCCAGCCAUGCCGCGUGUGUGAAGAAGGUCUUCGGAUUGUAAAGCACUUUAAGUUGGGAGGAAGGGCAGUAAGUUAAUACCUUGCUGUUUUGACGUUACCAACAGAAUAAGCACCGGCUAACUUCGUGCCAGCAGCCGCGGUAUUACGAAGGGUGCAAGCGUUAAUCGGAAUUACUGGGCGUAAAG
rnacentral:rRNA from 1 species